CCUUCUUGCCAAACUCGAUGAAAACAUCCAAAAGAGAUCCACUGUUGGACAUUGGAAUCUUUGGAGUGCUCUGAAGUGUGGCGAAAUUUCCGCUUCUAAGGUCAAUGCUCUAUUCAUCUCCUCCCUCU
ensembl:ncRNA T06F4.14 ncRNA